AUUGAACGCUGGCGGCAUGCUUUACACAUGCAAGUCGAACGGCAGCGCGGGCUUCGGCCUGGCGGCGAGUGGCGAACGGGUGAGUAAUGCAUCGGAACGUGCCCAGUAGUGGGGGAUAGUCCGGCGAAAGCCGUAUUAAUAACGCAUACGACCUGAGGGUGAAAGCGGGGGACCGAAAGGCCGCGUGCGAGGGGAGCGGCGGAUGUCGGGUUAGAUAGUUGGUGGGGUAAAGGGUUACCAAGCCGACGAUCCGUAGCUGGUCUGAGAGGCCGACCAGCCACCCUGGGGCUGGGCCACGGACCAGGCUCCUACGAGAGGCCGCAGUGGGGAAUGUUGGACAAUGGUGGCGAACAUGAUCCAACCAUGCCACGCGCGGGAAGACGGCCUUCGGGGUGUAAACCGCUUUUGUUCGGGAAGAACUCCUCUGGGCUAAUACCCCGGGGGAAUGACGGUACCGGAAGAAUAAGCACCGGCUAACUACGUG
rnacentral:rRNA from 1 species